CAGUCGCCGCGGUAAUACAGAGGGUGCGAGCGUUAAUCGGAUUUACUGGGCGUAAAGCGUGCGUAGGCGGCUUUUUAAGUCGGAUGUGAAAUCCCUGAGCUUAACUUAGGAAUUGCAUUCGAUACUGGGAAGCUAGAGUAUGGGAGAGGAUGGUAGAAUUCCAGGUGUAGCGGUGAAAUGCGUAGAGAUCUGGAGGAAUACCGAUGGCGAAGGCAGCCAUCUGGCCUAAUACUGACGCUGAGGUACGAAAGCAUGGGGAGCAAACAGGAUUAGAUACCGCGUAGUCCCUGUCUCUUAUACA
rnacentral:rRNA from 1 species